AACUCUCUCAAUCUCUCACGUCUCAUUUAUUUCUCCAGUGAGAAAAAAACUGAAUUAUCUCUCUCAUGUGUCCCAAGCGCUCACGUAUCUCUAUGAAACACUCCGACGUAAAGAAAAUUCUUCUUGGAGGCACCAAUGAACCAUCCAUGUCAAUAUAUCUUACGCCUCCAUAGCCCUAUCAACCUCCAGGACAAGCUUCUGUUGUUCUCUCGAUCUCCAUCCAUCAAACUUGGUUGAACCUACCACGCUGCCCAAUCGAGCAACGGCUGUCGCGAGCAGCGCAUCCUCCUCCGCAUCUUCUCUGUAUCAGGUGCCACCGCUUCCUAUAUUCUCCAACUUUUCUUGCAGAGAAUCAGAUGGCAAUCUGUGCAAGCAUAUGUCGCUGCUGCUAGCACGAGUUGAGUGUAAUUUUCUUGGGAUGAACUAGACAAUGCCAAGCACAUCUGGCUUCCAGAGACGAGGAAUAUUUAGUCAGCGACUAAUCCUGGUAGUCAUGCCUUCUUGGUGGAAAUAAUAGAAACAACAAUAGUCGACUCAGGUAAGUGCUCAAAUCUUCAAAGAAUUACAACUGUAUCUCCUUAAAGAUUUACAAUUAUAUCUAUAAUUCUUUAUGAUCAAUUUGUUGAUCAUGUAUUAUAGACAAGCAGAGAAGACCUCAUGGUUAUUUUGGAGUACGCGGUUUAUUUAACCAGACAACGUCUCUCAUUACUGAUUCUUCUGCUCAAUUUGCCACCUUUUCUAGGAGAUUGAUCACGGCAACUAUGAUGAUGGUGACGUACUUGUGCAGUCAUUUUCUUUUAUGCAUGUUUUAGUCGAUCAACCAACUAAGCCGACCGGUUGUAAGCUGUGUGCUAUACGCCGAGUGUAACACUCGGCGUACAGUUCGCCGAGUUUGAAACAGCUUUUGCCGUGUAUGAAACAUACACGGUUUCAUACACGGCUUACAAUGUUUUCCUGUAGUGAGAUUGCUGUAAUGUAUAUCCAUGUAGUUGCAUGAAUCAAACACAAUUUCGAUGUGCAUGUCUCUUAUUUUCAAAUACUUUACUGAAUGCGCCAUACUGUAGUUGACUUCUUAUAUAGGGAAAAGAUGUGGAAGAUCCUCCACGUGAUUCCACUGUACGUUUUAACACUAGGUUGAAGAUGUUGGUUUGGCUGCUUCAGCACAUGCACUGACAGGCAUAAGCAUCACGUGUGUAAACUGAAAAUUCAGUCUAUCCUCAUGCUAAAUUAGCAUAAGCUUCUAACUUAUUAGGACAAUGAUACUAUGCUUCAACUCAAAAGGUAUACGUAUAAAGGGUAUUUUAAUUUUAUUGCACCUUGCUGAAAUCGAUGUUUUAUAUACUUCGGUGUCAGGUAGUAUCAAGCUUGAUCAUGAAAUCUUUGAAACUAUAAACACCAUUCUUGCAUGUGUGUGAACUUACAUGCAAACUCACCCAAGGUGCAAGGUACAAUGAUUUUUCACCAACCAGUUCAACGCCGCCUUCUUGAUGUUAUUGGGAGUUUGGGACAUAUUCAGUACUGAAAUCUAGAUGAGUUCACAUCCAGGUUUUUCUUUCAGGUUGCUUUGUAUGUGUUGACUUCUACCCAGCUGCUGAGAUGAACUUCCAUCCAAGACGUUUCAACUUUUUAUAAAGAUGGUUCAAAUAUAUUUUCCCAAAAAGGUCGUCUACCAUCUUCUGCUAUGCAUGCAUUAGUAGUCGUCGUAAUUUAGUUCACCAACUUACAGGAUUUGUGAAGCAUUCUAACUAAUUCACGAGUGCUCAGCCUUGCUCCGUUUCAAUUUUCAAAUCAAAAGUGUGUUAAAUUUCCAUUCCAAUUAAGAGAUAUUUUCAUGGAUAUGGAUAACCAAUUGGUAUAUGUAUGACAAGAGAAAAACAAAUCAUAUUGUUUGAUUCAUAUAGUUGAAUUGUUUUGGAGGGAAGUAUUCUGGUGACUCUGUAAUCUGCCUGUGAACAUGUUGUUUAGUUAUGGAUAUUUACUCAGAUGCGGUAGUACCCUAGGAGAUAAAAAAGGGAAGAGAUCAGGGCAUAUGCUGCAUUCUUUGAUGGAUUUGACAUUAAGUUGGGCCUAUAAAGAUGAAGUAAUCAUUGAACUAUCACACAUGUUGCAAGGUGCUAUAUUAUCCCAGGGAGUCAGGUACGCAAGCUAUAGGCAGAGGACAUAGACUCAUAAUGAAAUAAUCUUCGUGAUAACAUUAUUUGAGAGAGAGAACAAAGUUUAGUCAACAAUAACGGGGUGCAAUCAUCAAGUGUGCUUAUGCACCGCUCUGCAUGCAGCAAUAAAAUCUAUUGAUUAUUCAGCUCAAUCGAUUCUUGGUUUGUUACGGAACAAUAACAAUAGCUGCGAAGGAUCCUAAUUUGUACGUACCUCUGGAUUUCAUAUAUUGUUGUUGACAUUGACACUGAACUAUGUUUAGUGACAGGGAUUUUUAUAUUCUUUUGCUA